UACGUAGGGACCAAGCGUUGUUCGGAUUUACUGGGCGUAAAGGGCGCGUAGGCGGCGUGUCAAGUCAAUUGUGAAAUCUCCGAGCUUAACUCGGAACGGUCAAUUGAUAACUGAUGUGCUAGAGUGCAGAAGGGGCAAUCGGAAUUCUUGGUGUAGCGGUGAAAUGCGUAGAUAUCAAGAGGAACACCUGAGGUGAAGACGGGUUGCUGGGCUGACACUGACGCUGGAGGCGCGAAAGCUAGGGUAGCAAACGGG
rnacentral:rRNA from 1 species